AGGAGGUUUAGAACCGGGUAGCGGGCGUUGCUACCAGAGGAGGUUUAGAACCGGGUAGUGGGCGUUGCUACCAGAGGAGGUUUAGAACCGGGUAGCGGGCGUUGCAACCAUAGGAGGUUUAUAACCGGGUGGCGGGCGUUGCUACCAGAGGAGGUUUGGAACCGGGUAGCGGGCGUUGCUACCAGAGGAGGUUUGGAACCGGGUAGUGGGCGUUGCAACCAGAGGAGGUUUGGAACCGGGUAGCGGGCGUUGCUACCAGAGGAGGUUUGGAACCGGGUAGUGGGCGUUGCAACCAGAGGAGGCGUCGGCUCAUAAAUGUAUGGAAUGGAGUGAACGGAAUGGCAGCAAACACGUCGAAGACGUGGUUUCCAUGUGGUUGAUACCAUUCCAUCGACUCCAUUAUUGUGAGCCGUCGCCCCUUCAGCAGCCGCCAAUGGUUGGAACAGACAAUGUUUACCCGCUUCUGUGAGCUUGUGUGGCCUACCACUUCACAAUAACAGGGCAGAAAUUUGACAAACUGACUUGUUGGAAAGGUGGCAUCCUAUGACGGUGCCACGUUGAAAGUCUCUGAGAUCUUCAUUAAGGCCAUUCUACUGACAAUGUUUGUCUAUGGAGAUUGCAUGGCUGUGUGCUCAAUUUUACACCUGUCAGCAACGGGUGUGCUGAAAUAGCCGACCACUAAUUUGAAGGGGUGUCCACGUGUAUGUAUGUAUGUAUGUAUGUAUGUAUGUAUGUAUGUAUAUACACUGCUCAAAAAAAUAAAGGGAACACUUAAACAACAC
rnacentral:lncRNA from 1 species